rnacentral:lncRNA from 1 species
AUUUAAAGUGAGGGAACGGAGCCUUUUCCGAUACGGAGCCCGAUCACACGGAGAGGAUCAGAGUGCCACGGUAAUUAGAAACAGCCUGUAAUCAAUAGCUGAGUUUCCCACUGUGCUGAGCUCCUCAAAAGCAGGAUUGCAAAUGAUGUGGUACCUCGAGUGAUAAAUAUUUCAGAGAGGAUAUCGAGCUCUGUAGUUCAGCUGGCCUGCCAAAAAUCAAGGUUUCCUCUGUCUGUUGCCCUUUGUGAACGUGUGUUGCUGUGUGCAGUGAAAUGCAGGGUAAAUUCCUGUGCCAGCACAGCCACCUCAUAACCCAGCUGUGCCAGAGCAUCACCACUGCUCCUGCCUCUGCUCCAACAACCCUGCCAUGGCAUGAAGAGACUCAAACAGCAUUUUGCCUGCCCCAGGUAUGUGACGACACAACAGAGUUUUCAGGAAAACAGCUCAUACACCCCUAAAACAGCAGAGCAGGGGACUACAGACCUCACAGACACACUUAUUUGAUCACAGAUAGGAAGAUGGUGCGUGACAGUAAUUAAAUUUUUCCUCUCAACUAAUUUAAUUUGUUAGCCAAAUAGGGAGAAAGGGUUUAUUGG